rnacentral:rRNA from 1 species
GUCGAACGUGAAAGUUCUUCGGAAUGAGUAAAGUGGCGCACGGGUGAGUAAUACUUGGGUAACGUACCCUAUCGCUGGGGAUAACCAGGCGAAAGCUUGGCUAAUACCGAAUAAACUGCGAGGAGCUCCGGCUUCUUUUAGUAAAGCCGUAAGGCGCGAUAGGAGCGGCUCAAGUCCCAUUAGCUAGUUGGUAGGGUAAAGGCCUACCAAGGCGACGAUGGGUAGCUGGUCUGAGAGGACGAUCAGCCACACUGGUACUGGAACACGGACCAGACUCCUACGGGAGGCAGCAGUGGGGAAUAUUGGACAAUGGGGGCAACCCUGAUCCAGCAAUGCCGCGUGAGUGAUGAAGGCCUUCGGGUUGUAAAGCUCUUUUGUCUGUGAUGAUAAUGACAGUAACAGACGAAUAAGCCCCGGCUAACUUCGUGCCAGCCGCCGCAGUAA